UACGUAGGCAGCAAGCGUUGUUCGGAAUUACUGGGCGUAAAGAGCGUGUAGGCGGCCUGGCAGGUCCGUUGUGAAAACUCGAGGCUCAACCUCGAGACGCCGAUGGAAACCACCUGGCUAGAGUCCGGAAGAGGAGAGUGGAAUUCCUGGUGUAGCGGUGAAAUGCGCAGAUAUCAGGAAGAACACCCGUGGCUAAGGCGGCUCUCUAGUACGGUACUGACGCUGAGACGCGAAAGCGUGGGGAGCGAACAGG
rnacentral:rRNA from 1 species